AAUGUCCUACGGGACGCAGCAGUGAGGAAUAUUGGUCAAUGGGCGGGAGCCUGAACCAGCCAAGUCGCGUGAGGGAAGACGGUCCUAUGGAUUGUAAACCUCUUUAGGCGGGGAGCAAUGCCGGGCACGCGUGCCCGGAGGGAGAGUACCCGCAGAAUAAGCAUCGGCUAACUCCGUGCCAGCAGCCGCGGUAAUACGGAGGAUGCGAGCGUUAUCCGGAUUUAUUGGGUUUAAAGGGUGCGUAGGCGGACUGUUAAGUCAGCGGUAAAAGCCCGGGGC
rnacentral:rRNA from 1 species